CUCCCGCCCGCAGCACUCACCUGCGGUGCCCGCGGGCGACUGGAUCCUGAAGGCGGCCGGCUCGGCCCAUCCCGGGUGCGACGGGGGCCGGCUCCAGGGUCUGGGGGUCCCGUGCAGCAGAUUAGGAAACCAAGACGCGGAAGCGACAGGGAGCGGAGCUGAUGUGCAACCACCUUCGGACCUGGUGUCUGCACCCUGGCCUUGCCAGGAAGCUACGCUUCGUCAAGUGCCAGCUGAAGUGCACGGGGCCCGGUGGAGGAACCUGGAGCCCUGGGCCAUGGGAGAUCCACUGUGUAUACACAGGAGCGGGCAGCCUGGAAUCGGCCCUCUCCUGGGAAUUAACACUGUAACAGAAGACAAUGGACUAAUUCAUGUUCCUUAACUUUUAUUUUUAUAUUUUCCAAUGUAGGAAAAAUUAUAUGAUGUGUUUUAAUUCUAAUUAAAUGUUUUUUUAAAAAAAAACAUUCUAUUUAAUUUCAUCAACAUAACCUGUCUCAGACUGAUCUA